ACACUGUGAUGACUGACUUCAUUGGUCCGUGUUUCUGAAAAGCAUGAUUUCAUAAGAAGUCCUGAGGUC